rnacentral:sRNA from 1 species
UGGUCACCGUGAAAAACUCUGAAUCACCUUUUCAUUUUGCAGAAUGGAGGAACACCUCUGCUUUAUGCUGUACAUGGAAAUCAUGUGAAAUGUGUAAAGAUGCUCUUAGAAAGUGGGGCUGAUCCAACAAUUGAAACUGACUCUGGAUAUAAUUCUAUGGAUCUAGCUGUAGCCCUAGGCUAUAGAAGUGUUCAACAGGUUAUUGAGUCACAUUUGUUGAAGCUGCUUCAAAAUAUCAAGGAGUAGACACAGUCAUCAGAAAAUGUCUGCCCUUUUGUUUACUUCUUGGUCCGUAUAAAUGAUAGUUUUGUUUACUUAUAAAUUUUUACCUCAGUUGCAAUAUUUACUGGUUUUUAGUAGGUUUUAAUAAAUAUUUCUCUGAGUAAUUCACUGGUUUAUAAUAAAUUUAAUACUCUUUUUAUAACUAUGUUUUACUGUAUAUUUAAAAUUAUAAAUUAAUGUUUCAUGGCAUGUAAAUUUUUAUGGUACGGAUAGUUAACAUCGGUCUUUG